rnacentral:tRNA from 1 species
GGUAGAGCUCAGUGGUAGAGCGCGUGCUUCCAUACACGAGGUCCUGGGUUCGGUCCCCAGUACC